rnacentral:lncRNA from 1 species
GGGCUACGGUGCACCAAACAACAAAAGGAUCGCGUCAAAAUGUGCGCAAAGAAGAGAGGAAGAAGAAAUUGAAGGGUUCAGGCUCUAAAGCUCACCGAGGUGACGACGGCGAGCGAGAAACGGCCGGCAGCCGAAGCAAUUCCGGUGAGAAAUUCUUCGGUGUGGUCGCGAGUGGAGUGAGGGGGUUGCGGGGGAAAAGUGAUAGGGGGAGGGGCUCUUUAUAGUGACGUGAGAGGGACGCUUAAACACGCGCCCUAAAUUGCGAAUUGAAGACGAGGCUUGAUGGAGACGCUCCCUGGAUUCCCGGCCAGAGCUUGAAGAUGACCUGACAGGUGGGUCCCGCCUGUCAGUAUCCAUUGGCUGUGGCUGGCUCGCGGGCGAGCGCGCAGGUAUGACUGGGCCGGUUCGGCCCAAGUUGGCCGGGCCGGUCCAUUUUUCUUUUUUUUUGUUCUUUUCUUUUCUAAUUUUCUUUUUCUGUUUUUCCUUUAUAACUUUUGAUUUUGAACUCCAAAUGGACUCAAAUAAAUUCCAAUUUUUUGUAAAAUCAUAUCCUUUAAUGCCAUGGCAUCUGGGACUUGAUUUCUUCCAAAAGUAAAUUAUUAAAAAUAGUUUUGCUUAUAUAAUUGCCUCUACUGCAAUAAUAUUUAGAAACAAAAUAGUUUUUCAACUCCAAAAUAAAUUCCAAAAAUUAUGGGGUAGCUCAUCUUAUUGCAUUAAACCCCUUUCUACUGUUUUCAACCUCAUGGGUUGAAAAAUUCCCAAAAGAUGCAAAGUAAAAAUUUAAAAGGGGAAAAGGCUUGAUAAAAGGUUUUAAAAUUUAGAUCUUUUGUUUAAAGGUGCUCAAAGUGAAUAAAUGGUUAGAUGCUCAUGAGUGCAAAUGCAGAAUGCAAUGUUUGGGAAAAUUGGGAUGUUACACGGGGUGAGUUUGACGUUGUUCUGAACACUAGAUUUUGCGAACUUUUCAUGUCGACUUAACUUAUUUCUACAUUUUCCAGUUCUUUGAGGAAGAGGGGGCAGACCAGCACGUCGCCGGCAGCCCCGUCCGGCAUUGCG